CACAUGCCAGCGGAAGGAUGAUAAAGUCCAGGAAAAUUCAAGGACCUGCCACCACAAGUUUCCAGGAAGAGAAACUUGGACUGAAAUGCAGAGAGAACACACAUGACAUUGGACGUCCUCACAAUGCCUAAAACUCUGAGCACGGCAGCACAGGCAGAAGCACAACCCACUGACUGUGGACUCCGACAAAAUCAGAGAGACCAAUAAGGAACAAUUUGCAGACUAAGACCAGUCCGGGGAAUACACUUGGAAGAGCAGACGUCCUCAAAGCCAUGAUGUAGUGAGAGUAGGAGGCCCUGGAACAAACCCUGAGACACACUGAACUCAAGCAGAGGUGUGGAGGUGAGGGGCCAGGAGCAUGUUCAGUAAAGGAGACUGAAAUAACACUGUUUGAAUAUAUGAAAUAAC
rnacentral:lncRNA from 1 species